rnacentral:rRNA from 1 species
GCGCGAAAACUUUACAAUGCUGGCAACAGCGAUAAGGGAACCUCGAGUGCCAGGUUACAAGUCUGGCUGUCGAGAUGCCUAAAAAGCAUUUCAUAGCAAGGGCCGGGCAAGACCGGUGCCAGCCGCCGCGGUAACACCGGCGGCUCGAGUGGUAACCGUUAUUAUUGGGUCUAAGGGUCUGUAGCCGGCCGGAUAAGUCUCUUGAGAAAUCUGGCAGCUUAACUGUCAGGCUUUCAGGAGAUACUGUCUGGCUCGAGGCCGGGAGAGGUGAGAGGUACUUCAGGGGUAGGGGUGAAAUCUUGUAAUCCUUGAAGGACCACCAGUGGCGAAGGCGUCUCACCAGAACGGACCUGACGGCAAGGGACGAAAGCUAGGGGCACGAACCG